GACGAACGCUGGCGGCGUGCUUAACACAUGCAAGUCGAGCGGAAAGGCUCCUUCGGGGGUACUCGAGCGGCGAACGGGUGAGUAACACGUGAGUAAUCUGCCCUGCGCUCUGGGAUAGCCACCGGAAACGGUGAUUAAUACCGGAUAUGACCGCUACACGCGUGUGUUGGUGGUGGAAAGUUUUUCGGCGCAGGAUGUGCUCGCGGCCUAUCAGCUUGUUGGUGAGGUAAUGGCCCACCAAGGCUUUGACGGGUAGCCGGCCUGAGAGGGUGACCGGUCACACUGGGACUGAGACACGGCCCAGACUCCUACGGGAGGCAGCAGUGGGGAAUAUUGGACAAUGGGCGGAAGCCUGAUCCAGCAACGCCGCGUGAGGGAUGACGGCCUUCGGGUUGUAAACCUCUUUCAGUACCGACGAAGCGAAAGUGACGGUAGGUACAGAAGAAGGACCGGCCAACUACGUGCCAGCAGCCGCCGUAAUAC
rnacentral:rRNA from 1 species